AGGAAUAUGGCUUAAUGGUAAAGCGCUUGCUUAGCAUGCAUGAAGCCCCUCCCUGGGUUCAAUUCCUCAGUACUA
rnacentral:tRNA from 1 species